GAUGAACGCUAGCGGCGGGCCUAACACAUGCAAGUCGAGGGGUAGAGUUCUUCGGGACUUGAGACCGGCGCACGGGUGCGUAACGCGUAUGCAAUCUACCUUAUACAGGGAAUAGCCCAGAGAAAUUUGGAUUAAUGCCCCAUAGUGUUAUCGAAUCGCAUGGUUUGAUAACUAAAGUUCCAACGGUAUAAGAUGAGCAUGCGUCCCAUUAGUUAGUUGGUAAGGUAACGGCUUACCAAGACAAUGAUGGGGUAGGGGUCCUGAGAGGGAGACUCCCCCACACUGGUACUGAGACACGGACCAGACUCCUACGGGAGGCAGCAGUGAGGAAUAUUGGUCAAUGGGCGCAAGCCUGAACCAGCCAU
rnacentral:rRNA from 1 species